rnacentral:rRNA from 1 species
UACGGGGGGGGCAAGCGUUGUUCGGAAUUACUGGGCGUAAAGGGCUCGUAGGCGGCCAACUAAGUCAGACGUGAAAUCCCCUCGGCUUAACCGGGGGAACUGCAUCUGAUACUGGAUGGCUUGAGUUCGGGAGAGGGAUGCGGAAUUCCAGGUGUAGCGGUGAAAUGCGUAGAUAUCUGGAGGAACACCGGUGGCGAAGGCGGGUCUCUGGGCAGUAACUGACGCUGAGGAGCGAAAGCGUGGGGAGGCGAACAGG